rnacentral:rRNA from 1 species
UACGUAGGGGGCAAGCGUUGUCCGGAUUUAUUGGGCGUAAAGAGCGUGUAGGCCGGCCUGAAAGGUCAGCUGUGAAAACUCGAGGCGCAAACCUCGAGACGUCGGUUGAAACCAUCUGGCUAGAGUCCGGAAGAGGAGAGUGGAAUUCCCGGUGGUAGCGGUGAAAUGCGCAGAGUAUCGAGGAGGAACGACCCGCAGUGGCGGAAG